AUUUUAUUUAGAUGCAAUGUGUUGUUUCUCUCCAUCUAGCACUUUUUAUUUUCAAUAUAUUCUUUAUUUGUUGCAUCAUUAAAAAUUUACAGCAAUUCGAAGGAAGGGAGAAUUUCAGAGGCGUCAACUAUGUUUAUAGAUGACCCAUCGCGCCGAAAGAGACGAUUUUCAAUUCCAGCAUAAGCACAUAAGGCACAUUUGUCUUAGGAGGAGCAGUAGAACACUGAGCGAAGCCAUGCCACAAGGGUGAAGCAGAUUGUGCAGCUGUGGAGGGACGAUGCUGGCAAGAAGAUCCUGGGUCGCAGUGGCACUGGACGACGAGCAGCGCUGUUGAAGGAGAUGGACAAGUGCACCGAGAAAACGGCCACGGCUUCCGCCAUGUCAAACAGCUCUUCAAUUUUCGGUCCCCAUAGACUAUUGUGUGAAGCAGAACGUCGAAUUUAUUUAAAAAGAAAAGCAUGUAGAAUACCAUGAUUUAUACUUAAUUAAAAACACUAUAAUGUGAUAUAUUUGUCGUAUUUUAAUUCAAAAGGGCGAGAAAACUGCCUAUGU